rnacentral:rRNA from 1 species
UAGAUGGAUGUUUAAGUCAGUUGUGAAAGUUUGCGGCUCAACCGUAAAAUUGCAGUUGAUACUGGAUAUCUUGAGUGCAGUUGAGGCAGGCGGAAUUCGUGGUGUAGCGGUGAAAUGCUUAGAUAUCACGAAGAACUCCGAUUGCGAAGGCAGCCUGCUAAGCUGCAACUGACAUUGAGGCUCGAAAGUGUGGGUAUCAAACAGGAUUAGAUACCCUGGUAGUCCACACGGUAAACGAUGAAUACUCGCUGUUUGCGAUAUACUGCAAGCGGCCAAGCGAAAGCGUUAAGUAUUCCACCUGGGGAGUACGCCGGCAACGGUGAAACUCAAAGGAAUUGACGGGGGCCCGCACAAGCGGAGGAACAUGUGGUUUAAUUCGAUGAUACGCGAGGAACCUUACCCGGGCUUAAAUUGCAGAUGAAUUACGGUGAAAGCCGUAAGCCGCAAGGCAUCUGUGAAGGUGCUGCAUGGUUGUCGUCAGCUCGUGCCGUGAGGUGUCGGCUUAAGUGCCAUAACGAGCGCAACCCUUGUUGUCAGUUACUAACAGGUUUCGCUGAGGACUCUGACAAGACUGCCAUCGUAAGAUGUGAGGAAGGUGGGGAUGACGUCAAAUCAGCACGGCCCUUACGUCCGGGGCUACACACGUGUUACAAUGGGGGGUACAGAGGGCCGCUACCACGCGAGUGGAUGCCAAUCCCAAAAACCUCUCUCAGUUCGGACUGGAGUCUGCAACCCGACUCCACGAAGCUGGAUUCGCUAGUAAUCGCGCAUCAGCCACGGCGCGGUGAAUACGUUCCCGGGCCUUGUACACACCGCCCGUCAAGCCAUGGGAGCCGGGGGUACCUGAAGUGCGUAACCGCGAGGAGCGCCCUAGGGUAAAACUGGUGACUGGGGC